rnacentral:rRNA from 1 species
CAAACCAAAGCUGGCGACCGGCGCACGGGUGAGUAACACGUAUCCAACCUGUCUCAUGCUCGGGGAUAGCCUUUCGAAAGAAAGAUUAAUAUCCGAUAGCAUAUAUUUCCCGCAUGGGUUUUAUAUUAAAGAAAUUCGGUAUGAGAUGGGGAUGCGUUCCAUUAGUUUGUUGGGGGGGUAACGGGCCCACCAAGACUACGAUGGAUAGGGGUUCUGAGAGGAAGGUCCCCCACAUUGGAACUGAGACACGGUCCAAACUCCUACGGGAGGCAGCAUG